CACCUGCACCUAGUUCCAGUCCCCACCUUCUCCGCUGCUGGUGACCUCGAGGCCAGCAGACCCCCGCAGUGAACAGUCCUCACCCACUGCCCUAACAGGAAGCCUGGGCAGGACUCCAAGUCAUAUUUAACCCGUUUAUGAGAACCAAGACGUGUCUAUUUAUAGUCCUUUGAUUUGUCUGCCAAGCGCCAGCUGGGUGGACGCUGUGGCAUCUCCGUGUGGAAGGCCGCCUGCUGCUCCACAGGGACAAGAGCGUGUUCGGCUGCACGGACUCAGAAUUCUCCAGCCAUCCUGCAGACGUGGAGACUGUGCGGCCUCUGCUUUCCAGUGGAGAAACUGAGUCUCGGAGAGGCAUGGCUGCUUCCUCAUAGCCACGUGGUGACAGCCUUCUAGGUGCUGGGACUAUGGGUGAGACCUUACGUGCCACAGUUGUACACAGGGACAUCAAUCAGAGAACAACCUUCAGGAGUUGGUUCUCUGUCUACACCACAUGGGACCCAGGGAGUGUUCAUGCCGUCAGGCGUGGUGGCCAUUGAAACCCCAGCACCCGCUUCGGGAUGGGUAUGCGGUACUUGUUGGAAAUGCUAUGUCGGUGCUUUUGAAAAUCCGGUUGCAUCCAGGCAUGGCGGUUCAUGACUUUAAUCCCAGCACUUGGGAGGCAAAAGCUGGUGGAUCUUGGUAGAUCUCCGAGUCCAAGACUUGGCUGCUCUACAGAGAGAGUUUCAGGACAUCCAGGGCUACAUAGAGAAACGCUGUCUCAACAACAAUAACAAAAAAACCUAA